UCAGACUCCUACGGGAGGCAGCAGUGAGGAAUAUUGGUCAAUGGACGAGAGUCUGAACCAGCCAAGUAGCGUGCAGGAUGACGGCCCUAUGGGUUGUAAACUGCUUUUAUAAGGGAAUAAAGUGAGUCUCGUGAGACUUUUUGCAUGUACCUUAUGAAUAAGGACCGGCUAAUUCCGUGC
rnacentral:rRNA from 1 species